UUUUUUUUUUUUUUUUUUCUUUAGGGCCACACUUGCAGCAGGUGGAAGUUCCCAGGCCAGGGGUGGAACUCGAGCUACAGCUGCCUGCCUACACCUCAGCCACGGCAAUAUGGGAUCCAAGCCGAGUCUGUGACCUACACCACAGCUAAGGCCAGAUCUUUUUUUUUUUGCUUUUGAGAUCUGAACAUGUGGCAUAUGGCGUUCCCAGGCUAAGGGUUGCACUGAAUUGGAGCAACGGCUGCUGGCCUACGCCACACCCACACAGGAUCUGAGCUGCCUCUGUGACCUACACCACAGCUCACGGCGACGCCGGAUCUCCGACCCACUGAGCCUGGCUAGGGAUCGAACCCACGUCUUCAUGGCUACUAGUCAGCUUCUUAACCCACUGAGCCACAAUGGGAACUCUCAGACUUAUUAAAAAGACCUAGAAAUCUAGGUUUAAAACAAACAAAAACUCCUGGUUUUUAAAUAUUGGCAAUAAAUUUUUAAAAAUAAAUAAAGCAGUAUGUGGGGACCAAGGAAAACAUAGCUGCAGGCCAAGAACUGAGUUCCACAGCCGCCCCAGCCAGGAGGCUCUGUUCCUUCUCGGGUCCUCCUAUUGCCCCAUCCACCUGCCGCUGGGCUGCCACCACCUCUCUGUGCACACUCUCCCGAAGCCCGACCCCCUUUGCUGCCGUAGGCCCAGCACAAUCCACUGUCUGUCAGCUCCUCCUUCAAAACAUACCUGGAACGGACUCCCUCUGACCCAGUCCUGCGGGCCUGGGCUACAGCAGCACCUCCUUGCUGGUCUCCCGCUGCCCCCGCGCCCCCUGCAGUCGAUUCUUGGUACAGCAGCCUGAGGAGGCCUGUCCCAGGAAAGGCGGAUGCUGGAGCCUCUCGGCACAGAAACCUCUGUGGCUCCCACCUUAUUCUGAGUAAAAGACGCGCCCUGACAACCCUCUCUGGGAUCUUGUGCUAUCUGCCCUCUGCCCACCUCUUCCCCGGUCUCCUGGCCUCCUGGCUUUUACUCCUGCCCCAGGGCCUUUGCAUUUGCCCCUCCCUGUCACCUGGGUCACCUCCCCUGCCAGAUAGCCACAUGACUGGGAAGGGGGUCUAUCAAUAAUCCAGAUUAAGAGGCAUAAAGUGGGACUGCCUGUGUGGCGAACAGGAUGUCCCAGUCACCUUUUGUUUCUUCCAGGCUCUGCUACAUGGCAUCAGAAAAGCCUUUCCUGGCCACCCCAUUAAAGCACCCAUCCCCGCCCUGCUGCCCUGAGUUCCCCCACCUGAAACAUUUUCUCCACCGCACCUCUCACCAUCAGACCUUUUGCUGGAGUGCCUGUCGUGGCUCAGCGAAAACGAAUCUGACUAGCAUCCAUGAGGAUGCAGGUUCGAUCCCUGGCCUCGCUCAGUGGGUUAAGGAUCCAGCACUGUUGUGAGCUGCGGUGUAGGCUGCAGACACAGUUUGGAUCCUGUGUUGCUUGCCUGUGGUGUAGGCUGGCAGCUGCAGCUCCAAUGUGACCCGUUGCCUGAGAACCUCCAUAUGCUGUGGGUGCGGCCCUAAAAAGACAAAAAAAAAAACAAAAACCAAAAAACCACAGUCCUUUUGCUUUAUUUACCAGGUUUUGGUUUGUUUGUUUCUUACCUAUGGCCUCGACUAGACUGUAUGCCCCAUGAGGGGCAGGGAAUUUUUGUCUGUGUGGCUCGCUAAUUGCUGUGACCCGGGCUAAGACAGCACUAAGUGGUUGAAUGUCUCCCCAUUUCCUUCAGCGUCCCUGCAAAUGACAUUCUAAGCCCCUCGCAUAGCUAGCCAUCUCCCUAGCUGUAUCCCCCAUUCUGGCUCCUCCAUGAAUCACCCGCACUGUGUUUGGCACAACUCUGUGCAUAACGCUCUUUUUUCCAACAAUGUCCUUCUCCUGCCCAUCUGCCACGCAAACUCCUCUUCAUCCUUCAAAACCCAGUGCGAAAAUGCCCUACUUCAGGAAAUGUUCCCUGACUCUGUCCGUACUGCCGACUACAGUUAACCCUCCUUCCGUUAUCACUCCCGUGUGUGCUGUGUUGGCAUCUACAGCCUUCCAUGUCCGUCUUUGAGGGCAGGGUCUGCUGGCUGUGUCCUCCAGACUCUGUGGGCCUGGGCUACCCACAGGCAGCCUACCGCUGUCAAUCAAAGCUCUCCCCGCCCAGGGCAGCUGUCGGUCCCAGGAAAAGUGCACCUUUGCCAUAACCCCUCCUGGGACAGGCGGCUGGAGAAGAGGGUCGGGGGUCUGGGUGCUGCCCCCUGUGCCCCCCAUCCCUGCCCUGCUCCAGGCUCAUCUGCCCUCCACCCUCCUAGGGAGGGUCCUUCUCAUUACGAAUCUUCCUCCGCUUCUGUCCUCUCGGCCGCCCUCCCCCGCAGCAGGGGCAGCACCUUUCCCAUGAAUCACCUGCCAGGCCGGCAGGCAGCCUGAGAGCCUCCUGCACGCAUGUGCGCCCGGGUCAGGGGGCCGGGGCUGGAGAGGCGGGGGAGGCGGGGGGGAGGCUGGCAGAUGGCUCCUGCUAAGAAGCACGAGGCAUCGGUCCUGGCGGCAACCAGCCCCCCUGCUGGAGGCGACUCGGCCAGGAGGGGAGAGCGGGGCAGGGCCUCUCACCAGGGAGAAGGCCCUGGGGUUGGAAGGGGGGAGCGGUCGGCCGCACCCCUCCCCAAAUCCCGCACCCACCGCUGACAAUAUUUUUAUCACGCUGUUGGGCACGUCCGCUGUGAGCUUAAUCUAACGUCCAUAUUGCUGCUACUUAAUUAAAUAGAUGGACUCACUGUACAUUUACAAGUCUUAAUUCAUCCUGAACAAAAUUGGCCAUGUUUGGUUCUUUAUACACUAGCAGCUCCCUGGAACAAAUGGUGGCCUUUUCGAGUUAACGGCGGGGACAGGUUAAAAGCUAAUUAUCGGCCCUGGUCGCCCGUGUGAGAGAGUGCGGACGUCUUUAUCCAUCACAGACGUGAGCCGAGGGGCUGAAGGGUUCCAGUUUCCCAGCCGCUGCGGGUCCGCUCCAGCCGGGUCUGAACCUCUGAUGGUGGGUGGGCUCCUGCCUCGCAGGGGGGGGCUCUUUCCAUCCGCCUGCCCCGCCUCCCCUCUCUCCUUGGGAGCGGCUCUCCCGUCCCAGCCCACAGCCCGGGCCACCUGCCCACUCCGCGGGGCUGCCCGCUCGUCUGCGUGGCCCGUGCUCUCCCCCUGAGCCGUCAGAGGGUGAGUCAGGUCUGCACUCACAGCCCCCUGGGGGCUGGGGGCAGGUGGCCUGGGGAGGGGGCACCGAGCCCCGGCGGCAGGGGCAUCCCUAUCUCACGGCGUCAGGACAAACGUCCCCGCGCUCACCCUGGGGAGUGCCUAGACCGGGCCCUGGCACGUGGCAGGUGCUCAAAGCCUGUAGCAGGUUCUGGCAGGUCUCGAGCCUGCGGCUGGGCGCUGGGCGGGGGUAUAAAAGGGCCAGGCUGGCAAGCAAAACGUCAGGUACCAGCUGCCCUGGCCUGUCUCAUGGCAACUCUGCCUGGUCAGGACCGCCUUUGCCCUGGAGCCAGGGACCGGGGGACUGAGCCAGAGCUUGGGGUUUUCAUCUCGUGCCACACGCCAGCCCCUGGGCUGCAGGUCCGCAGAGCGUGAGGCGCCUGUGACAAGAAGCCAGGGCACCCCGCCCACAUUCAGCCAGGUGCUGUUCUAAGCGCUUUCUGGCUACGGACGUGUGUCAGCCUCACCGCAACCCUCGGCGGGGAGGGACCACUCCUACCCUCGCUGUACAGGAAGAAACUGAGCCCAGAGAGGUCAAACAGCGUGCUGGGGGUCACACAGCCAGCAUCCUUGGAGAAGACACUGGGGGCAGAGCUCACAGUCUAAGCAGCCUCAGACUAAGGGGGCCAGGGAGGAGGUGGGGGGUCGCCCCCUAGCUUUAAUCCUGCUGUGGAUUAAAUGCCCCGCCAACCNNNNNNNNNNNNNNNNNNNNNNNNNNNNNNNNNNNNNNNNNNNNNNNNACACAGUGUGUGGAGAGGCCAUGAGACCCCGGGGGAAGCUGGCUGCCCCUCUGCCCUCUCCUUCUUGUCAUUACAGGCCUGGCCCCCAGCUGCCUGGCCCUGGGGAGUGACCAGGUCAGAGAUGUAAACACACCCGCUUCCCGGCCCCUGAGAAUGGGCACAGCCAGGCUGCCUGGUCCAUCUUUGCCCUGGACGGUGACCAGGGUGGGAGGCUGUCUCCGACAGGUGCCCCCCCCCUCCCCCGUGGACUCAGCACCCUGGGGACUGCCCCUGGGCCCAGAGAGCAGGGCCUCAUCUGUCAAGUCUCACAAGAGAGGUGGCCACUCCAGCACUUCUGCCAGCCUCCGCUGGGCCGGAAGCAUCUACACCAGGCCAUCUCGCUGUUUCACCAGCAGCCCCCAUUUCUCGACGGGCAAGGAGAGCCCCAGAGAGGCCGAGCUCCUUUCCUGAAGCCACACAGCCAGCCAGAGUUGUAACUGGGAUCAGACCCCAAGGGGAUGGGAUCUCACGGCCUGAGCUCCGACUGUGCCCCUCCCCCCAUCACCCACCCACUGUGCCCCUCCCCCCACCCCCCCCCCACCAGCCAGAGAGGGCAGACCCCCUGCAGGCUGCCGCCAGGGGCUGGAGAGGCUGGGAAGUGGGGGUUCCCGGCCCCUCGGGUAAGCAGCCCAGGACACGGCGGAAUCAGGAGGGAGAGGGCUUCUCGUGAGCCUCUAUCCCAGGCACUCGACGUCACCCCUGGAGGCCUCAGUCCCCUUCCUGGGGCCUGACCCCCCAACCUGCCCACCCUGGCCUGUGUAUAUCCUCCCAGAGGGCCCCCCACUGCUCACUACUCUGCUGUCUCACCGGCUGGGAACAGCUGGCGGGGAGGGGCAAGCCUGUCCCCUGGGGGUAAGCCACCACCAAGACUGGACACCUGCGACUCUGUUCUCCCAACGUCCAGGGAGCCCCUGUGGGGUGACAUCUGGAACGCGUCGAAGGGCCUGGGGCGCAGGCGGCCAAGAGCCAGGCCCCACCCCUUGUCCUAUUGCCCGCAAUUGCAUCAGCUUGAGCCCCCAGGGCUGGGGGUCUUAGGGGGGUGGGGGCAGCCCCUGGGGCCCCCAGCCCUGCUUCCUUCCCUGCCCCCACUCUGGCUCCUUCAUCAGCCCUUGGAGACUCCCCUCCUCUGCCUCCCCACCCAGAGACAAUUUCAUCAGCAGUCAACACAUAUUUGCCCUGCAACUUCCUGAGUGCUCAGAGGGCAGAGGCGGGAUUUUUUUUUUUUUUGGCUUUUCAGGGCCACACCUGCGAGGUGCUGUUCCCAGGUUAGGGGGCUGCAGCUGCAGCUACUGCCACAGUCACCGCAACGCCAGAUCCAAGCCACGUCUGCGACCUCCACCACAACUCGCGGCAACACGGGAUCAUUAACCCACGGAGGGAGGCCAGCAUCCUGCUGGAUACCAGUUGGACUCUUAACCUGCUGAGCCGCAGCGGGAACUCUCAGAGUGGGACUGUCACAAGAGACAGAGUUGUGCUAGAUGGCAGGGUGCCCCCCAGAGGGGCACACUCUCACAACACACACUCAUGUGCACACACACACACACACACACACACUCUGCGGUUCAAACCCUCCCUUCCCCGCUCUGUAGCGCGACCUCCCUGCUAGGUGCCUCAGUUUCCCCACCUGUGCAAAGAGCCCCAUGGACCCGCCUGCUGAGAACAGUAAGUGAGCUCACACCCAAGCCCUGGAAGGGGCUCAGGUCAUUGCUGACCCCCAGCAAGUGCCCUAGGCCUCCACUUCCAGCCUGAGCUGCCCCCCCAGGAUGACUCACAGCCAGGCCUGUGGGGGGAGCGAGCCCUGAGGAUUCUGUGGAGGAAGUCACGCUGCCCAGGAAGCAACUGGGUGGGGGCUGGCGGGGCUCAGGGGGAAGGGAGGGCUCGCCUUCAGGGGUGCUGGGGUGGGGGGGCCCCAGGCCAGGCUGAUCUUUCACACCUGCUGACACCCUGACCGACCUGACCGCGGG
ensembl:lncRNA